AUUGAACGCUGGCGGCAGGCCUAACACAUGCAAGUCGAGCGGAUGAAGGGAGCUUGCUCCUGGAUUCAGCGGCGGACGGGUGAGUAAUGCCUAGGAAUCUGCCUGGUAGUGGGGGAUAACGUCCGGAAACGGGCGCUAAUACCGCAUACGUCCUGAGGGAGAAAGUGGGGGAUCUUCGGACCUCACGCUAUCAGAUGAGCCUAGGUCGGAUUAGCUAGUUGGUGGGGUAAAGGCCUACCAAGGCGACGAUCCGUAACUGGUCUGAGAGGAUGAUCAGUCACACUGGAACUGAGACACGGUCCAGACUCCUACGGGAGGCAGCAGUGGGGAAUAUUGGACAAUGGGCGAAAGCCUGAUCCUGCCAUGCCGCGUGUGUGAAGAAGGUCUUCGGAUUGUAAAGCACUUUAAGUUGGGAGGAAGGGCAGUAGGUUAAUACCUUGCUGUUUUGACGUUACCAACAGAAUAAGCACCGGCUAACUUCGUG
rnacentral:rRNA from 1 species